rnacentral:rRNA from 1 species
GUGAGGAAUAUUGGUCAAUGGGCGCAAGCCUGAACCAGCCAUGCCGCGUGCAGGAAGACGGUCCCAUGGAUUGUAAACUGCUUUUAUUUGGGAAUAAACUCCGGUACGUGUACCGGCCUGAAGGUACCAAAUGAAUAAGCACCGGCUAACUCCGUGCCAGCAGCCGCGGUAAUACGGAGGGUGCAAGCGUUAUCCGGAAUCAUUGGGUUUAAAGGGUCCGCAGGCGGUCUUAUAAGUCAGUGGUGAAAGCCUACAGCUCAACUGUAGAACUGCCAUUGAUACUGUAGGACUUGAAUUCGAUCGAAGUGGGCGGAAUGUGACAUGUAGCGGUGAAAUGCUUAGAUAUGUCACAGAACACCGAUAGCGAAGGCAGCUCACUAGGUCUGGAUUGACGCUCAGGGACGAAAGCGUGGGGAGCAAACAGGAUUAGAAACCCUUGUAGUCC